UGGGAAUUUGACAAUGGGCGCAAGCCUGAUGCAGCCUGCCGCGUGAGUGAUGAAGGCCUUAGGGUCGUAAAGCUCUUUCACCAGGGAUGAUAAUGACAGUACCUGGUAAAGAAACCCCGGCUAACUCCGUGCCAGCAGCCGCGGUAAUACUCCGUGCCAGCAGCCGCGGUAAUA
rnacentral:rRNA from 1 species